ensembl:lncRNA
GGAACUGUAGUUACUGUUCUUUCACCUCCUGCCCUAUUCACAUUCACCCUGCUGAGCUACCUUCCUUCCUGCCAGCUGUCUGCUUGGAACAACCUGUCAACCAGCAUCUGCUGGCUCCCAGCACAUCCCUGAAGCGAUGGCAGUGCCAACACUUUGGUUCCUCAAACACAGAGCUAUUCCUCCUGAAGAACCCCAAGCUGUUGACAGAUCAAAGAAAGGCGAGGACACAAGAGACAGCUGAUGAGGGGAAAAACACAGCAUUGUGCUGGUGGGGAAAUUCUUCAGCCUUCACAUCUGAAAGAGGCUUUGCUUCGCUGGACAGCAAGUGCUGUCUGUUCACCAGGCUGAACAUCCUCUGCCUCCAAUAUAGAUGUCACCAGCUGCUUUGGGAUCACUCAGGCUCCUUGUAUGUUCCUUCUUGCUCCCUGAUGCAGCCUUCCUGUAAAAGCUACCAUCGUCCUCUUUGGAAUUUCCUUCCCACAAAAGCUUUAGAAGAGAAUUUUGUAGGAGUGACUCAAGUGUGGAGCAAAGAUGAGCUUUGACGUAGGUGAAAGUGUGUGAUUGAAUCAAAUCUUCUGAGUUCAAGAACCUCUUCUGGUGCAGGAGGGGAUCACGGCCACUGAAAGCUGGGCUUUUUUUACCCACAAACUCUGGUGAAGGGUUUUACACUAUGGCAGGAGCAACGAGCACCAAUAAGGGAUGUACUCAUCCUGCUCUUGCUGGGACAAGCCUGAAGUUCUACCCACUGUCUCUCGGUGACCAAGGGUUGUUUCAUGGAGCAUGGAAAGAUCUCAUUAUUUUGUCAGUAAAAAGUAUUUAUGGUUUUCUUCUUUAAAUAACUUCAGUCACCAUCCCUGGAGGUGUUCCAG